AACAGCAGAGAAGGAGAAAAUGCAGAGAAGAAAGAAAAAACCAAGGGAAAAAGGGAAGAAAAGAGAAAGAAAGGAAGGAAAAAGAGAAGAAAAUGGAAGAAGGAAGAAAUUUUGUGCCAACUACUUCAAGCUUAUUUCUUUAAUUUUCUAGAGGUAAAGGUAAGAUUUUAUGGUAUAGUUAUGGCAAAAAAUUUUAGGGUUCUAAGGAAUUAUGGGGUAAUUUUCAGAUUGAAGGAAGGAGCAUGAUUCCAAGCCAAUCUUUUGAUUUGUGAAAGAUUUUUUGUGUCAGGGAAUUCAAAGACUUAUUCUAUGAAGACUUAAUUAGUUGAAUACCACCCAUUGAACAUCCAAUUGAUUCGAUGCAAGUGAAGAAUUUGAUGAGCAUUGAAGGAGAAGCAUUCAACUAUGAUAUGAUAAAGUAUCAAUACCCCAUACACAGGUAUAGGUUCGAGGUUGAAUCCUUCCAAAGAGGGAGGGAAUGAUGGGAUCCAAGAAGGCAACAAGCUAUCAAGGUUCGAUAUAUGUUGAGGAGAGGCUAAAGGCAUGUUCAAGAUCAAAUAGAGUCAAUGAAGCCAUACAGUUAUUUAUUUGAGCUAUCAAGUCCAACAGGGUAAAGUUAACAAGUCGAAGGCCAAGUUUCAUUUUGGGCAUGCGAGCGGAAAACAAAUUGGGAUGCAUUGAAAUCAAGAAUUUAAACUUGGAAGCAAGAAGGACUACUAUGCGACCGUAUAGCACAAACUAGGGUACGAUUUCAUGUCCCAGUACAGAGAGCAAAGAUACCAUUUUGGAUGAACUAUGCGACCGCAUGUCCAUACAUUAUACAGUCUCAUAGCACAAAUCUAGGGCGAAUUUUCCAAUUUUUGGAAAGAAUCCUGGUUUUGUUAAAAUUUAGACUAUUAAUUUCAUUUUUAAUUGGG